rnacentral:rRNA from 1 species
GACGAACGCUGGCGGCGUGCCUAAUACAUGCAAGUCGAGCGAAGCGGCGGAUGGGUGAGUAACGCGUGGGUAACCUGCCCUUAAGUCUGGGAUACCAUUUGGAAACAGAUGCUAAUACCGGAUACUAAAGGAUGGAGCUGGGAUGCAUUAGCUAGUCGGUAAGGUAACGGCUUACCAAGGCGAUGAUGCAUAGCCGAGUUGAGAGACUGAUCGGCCACAUUGGGACUGAGACACGGCCCAGACUCCUACGGGAGGCAGCAGUAGGGAAUAUUCCACAAUGGACGAAAGUCUGAUGGAGCCACGCCGCGUGUGUGAAGAAGGUUUUCGGGUCGUAAAGCUCUGUUGUUGGUGAGGCGGUAAUCGACGAAAAAGUCACGGCUAACUACGUGCCAGCAGCCGCGGUAAUUC